rnacentral:rRNA from 1 species
UACGAAGGGGGCUAGCGUUGUUCGGAAUUACUGGGCGUAAAGCGCGUGUAGGCGGGUCCUUAAGUCAGGGGUGAAAUGCCAAGGCUCAACCUUGGGACUGCCUUUGAUACUGGGGAUCUUGAGUCCGGGAGAGGCGAGUGGAACUGCGAGUGUAGAGGUGAAAUUCGUAGAUAUUCGCAAGAACACCAGUGGCGAAGGCGGCUCACUGGCCCGGAACUGACGCUGAGACGCGAAAGCGUGGGGAGCAAACAGG